GUCUGAAUGUGAAAGCCCCCGGCUCAACCGGGGAGGGUCAUUGGAAACUGGGGAACUUGAGUGCAGAAGAGGAGAGUGGAAUUCCACGUGUAGCGGUGAAAUGCGUAGAGAUGUGGAGGAACACCAGUGGCGAAGGCGACUCUCUGGUCUGUAACUGACGCUGAGGAGCGAAAGCGUGGGGAGCGAACAGGAUUAGAUACCCUGGUAGUCCACGCCGUAAACGAUGAGUGCUAAGUGUUAGGGGGUUUCCGCCCCUUAGUGCUGCAGCUAACGCAUUAAGCACUCCGCCUGGGGAGUACGGUCGCAAGACUGAAACUCAAAGGAAUUGACGGGGGCCCGCACAAGCGGUGGAGCAUGUGGUUUAAUUCGAAGCAACGCGAAGAACCUUACCAGGUCUUGACAUCCUCUGACAAUCCUAGAGAUAGGACGUCCCCUUCGGGGGCAGAGUGACAGGUGGUGCAUGGUUGUCGUCAGCUCGUGUCGUGAGAUGUUGGGUUAAGUCCCGCAACGAGCGCAACCCUUGAUCUUAGUUGCCAGCAUUCAGUUGGGCACUCUAAGGUGACUGCCGGUGACAAACCGGAGGAAGGUGGGGAUGACGUCCAAUCAUCAUGCCCCUUAUCACCUGGGCUACACA
rnacentral:rRNA from 1 species